rnacentral:rRNA from 1 species
GCAAAGCGAUUCCCUUAGUAUGGCGAAUGAACAGGGACAAGCCCAGCGUGAAGGUCUUUGCAUGCUUGACGUGCAAAGACGGUGCCACGUUGCAUGCGGCGUCGUCAYGGUGUCCGGUUGCGAAAGCAUUUCAAAUGUUUUUGAAUAAACUGCGGUUUAACCAUAGCGGGUGCAAGUCCCGUUGAGGUGCGUCGUGCCGGACAUUGGCGUCGUAUGACAGAGUCGGGUUGCUUGAGAAUGCAACCUAAAGCAGGAGGUAAGCUCCUCCUAAGGCUAAAUAUCGCUGUGAGACCGAUAGCAAACAAGUACCGUGAGGGAAAGUUGCAAAGAACUUUGAAGAGAGAGUUCAAUAGGACGUGAAACCGCUUGCAGGUAAACAGAUGGACCCACGAAGUCUGGAGAGCGUUGUGACACUCAAAGCGGUUCGACUUGCGAGUACUGACGGCCGGUAGUCACUUCAUUGUGGCAAGUCGUUGUACUUUCGCAUAAAGUCGUGCUCUGCAUUUGACAUUCACCGCUCCGCCGGGGCUCUGACCUUUUCACCGGUAGCGCAUCGCUGCAGGAUUGGCGAUGGUCGAGAAGGUCCACCGUAAGGUGUUCUCUUUCAACCAUCCGGCUGUAUGUGCGCUGCCGAAUUAAAGGGUGAAUUGCUUAAUGUUUUAAGUGGUUCAGGUUGUCGGCGUUYGUGUUCGGCGCGGCGGUCAAUGGUCGCAUCAGUGGUUAUUAGUGUCUUGUACUCUAACCGCUCGGUGUACGCUCUGUUGAUCGAUGGCUACGUUUGCACGAGCGUCUAACGAUAAUCUAGAGUAAGUAGGUCGGUCAUCCAUCUGACCCGUCUUGAAACACGGACCAAGGAGCCCGACAUGUGCGCGAGUCAUUCGGUCUUGCGUAGGCGCGAAAGGCGAAAUAAAUAUGAUAGUAUGAUCCGUGUCCCAACGUGCGUUGUCCGUGACGGUGCGCUUCGGCUACAUCGUCAACGAGUCAGCGGUUGGCAGGCACGGCGCAAUACUGACCUGCUCGUCUGCUUUCAUCGGCGGUCGAGUGGUGUUUGAGCGUACAUGUUGGUACCCGAAAGAUGGUGAACUAUACUUGGGCAAGAUGAAGCCAGAGGAAACUCUGGUGGAAGUCUGCAGCGGUUCUGACGUGCAAAUCGAUCGUCAGACCUGAGUAUAGGGGCGAAAGACUAAUCGAACCAUCUAGUAGCUGGUUCCUUCCGAAGUUUCCCUCAGGAUAGCUGGCAUUUCAUGUCUGUAGCAUCCGAUAAAGCGAAUGAUUAGAGGUCUUGGGAUCGAAACGGUCUCAACCUAUUCUCAAACUUUAAAUGGGUGCGAAGCAUGACUUCGGCUUGCUUGAAGUCUUGCACACGUGUAAGACAAAAGUGCCAAGUGGGCCAUUUUUGGUAAGCAGAACUGGCGCUGUGGGAUGAACCAAACACAGAGUUAAGGUAUCUAAUGCCGUCGCUCAUGAGAUCCCAUUAAAGGUGUUGGUUGCUAUAGACAGCAGGACGGUGGCCAUGGAAGUCGGAAUCCGCUAAGGAGUGUGUAACAACUCACCUGCCGAAGCAACCGGCCCUGAAAAUGGACGAUGCUUAAGCGAGGAACCUAUACUCUGUCCGUACGGUAAUCUUUACACCCAUGGGAUACCGUACGGAGUAGGAAGGACAUGCUGAACGCGUGGAAGUGCUCGGACGUGAGUCCGCAUGGAGCGUUCAGUAAUGCAGAUCUUGGUGGUAGUAGCAAAUACUCAAGUGAGAUCCUUGAGGACCAAUGUGGAGAAGGGUUCCAUGUGAACAGCAGUUGAACAUGGGUCAGCCGGUCCUGAGCAAUGCGGAGAAAUCCGUGGCCAAAGUCCUUGAUGUAUGUCGCUUUGUUGCAAUGGCAUCGCAUCGGUACGGAGGUUGAACAAAUUGCGAAAGGGAAUCGGGUUAAUAUUCCCGAGCCUGGAUACGGAAACAGGCCACGUCGGCUGUAACAGGUUCGACGUGGUUGAAUGCGGUAACGCAAUCGAUCUCCGGGACGGUGGCGAGAGUCCGGGGAAGAGAUGUCUUUUUCUUUGUAAGGCGCCGGGUCCAUGGAAUCGGUUUAACCGGAGAUAUGGAUGUUGGCGCCGAAAAGCACUGCGGCUCUUGCAGUGUCCGGAGCGCUUUCGUCACCCCUUGAAAACCGGAGUGAGAGAUGUUAAUUCUUGAAUGAAUUAUCGUACCAGACCGUACCCAUAUCCGCAGCAGGUCUCCAUGGUUAACAGCCUCUGGUCGUUAGAAUAAUGUAAGUAAGGGAAGUCGGCAAGGUCGAUUCGUAACUUCGGGAUAAGAAUUGGCUCUGAGGAUUGAGCUGGUCGGGCUGUUGGCUGGAAGCUCAGCGGCCACAGAGUCGAGACUGAGUGAGUGUGCACUGCACUGCACGGAUUUCGGCGGUACUUGCGGUACGGUGUCCGCCGGGCGUCACGGCGUACGCAUGUCGUUAGCGCGAUGUGUGUGCGUGCGGUGGUGUUCGGUAGGGCCGUAUGCGGCAACUCCGCCGUGCCGUGUCAUGUAGUGGUGUGCGCACAUUCGGAUUCGUCACUGUACGUUUUGCUGAAGACUGCAGCUAGGUCUUCACGAUGGCGUGUGCCGCGGGUGCGCGCGGGCGGUUUUCGGGCCGUUCGUCGUGCUCGUGCGUGUGCGUCGGAGUGAAAUAAACCUUUCGGCCAGCAGUAAACAAUCAAAUCAGAACCGGCACCGACUCGGGGAAUCCGACUGUCUAAUUAAAACAAAGCAUUGCGAUGGCCACCGAGUGGUUUUGACGCAAUGUGAUUUCUGCCCAGUGCUCUGAAUGUCAACGUGAAGAAAUUCAAUGAAGCGCGGGUAAACGGCGGGAGUAACUAUGACUCUCUUAAGGUAGCCAAAUGCCUCGUCAUCUAAUUAGUGACGCGCAUGAAAUGGAUAAUGGAUAAAUNNNNNNNNNNNNNNNNNNNNNNNNNNNNNNNNACACAGCCAAGGGAACGGGCUGGUAAAUCAGCGGGGAAAGAAGACCCUGUUGAGCUUGACUCUAGUCUGACUGUGUGAAGAGACAUGAGAGGUGUAGCAUAGGUGGGAGGCUGCGGACCGUACGGCGUGCGAGCGUCGUGCACCGUGGUCGACAGUGAAAUACCACCACUUUCAUCGUUUCUUUACUUACUCGGUGAAGUGGAGUCGAGGCGUACGGGCGGCGUCGGUAAAACGGCGUCGUUCGGUCACGUUUCUACUUCUUGCUCGUAAAUCCAGAAAGGUUGAGCGGAAACUGGAGCCGGCACGUCGUCGGCACGCCGUCGCGGGCGCGGUCGUUGAUGGCAACAUUGGCGUCCGCGUUUGCGGCGAAACGGUCUGGCGUGGCGUCUAGCGUACGCUUGCUUAAUAUGGGUGAUCCUUUCCGAGGACAAAGUCAGGUGGGGAGUUCGACUGGGGCGGUACAUCUGUCAAAUGGUAACGCAGGUGUCCUAAGGACAGCUCAGUGAGGACGGAAACCUCACGUAGAGCAAAAGGGCAAAUGCUGUCUUGAUCUCGAACUUUCAGUACGAGUUCAGACCGGGAAACCGCGGCCUAUCGAUCCUUAUGCUUUUACGAGCUUUAAUCAUGAGGUGUCAGAAAAGUUACCACAGGGAUAACUGGCUUGUGGCAGCCAAGCGUUCAUAGCGACGUUGCUUUUUGAUCCUUCGAUGUCGGCUCUUCCUAUCAUUGCUGAAAGCAGAAUUUCCAAAGCGUUGGAUUGUUCACCCACAAAUAGGUAACGUGAGCUGGGUUUAGACCGUCGUGAGACAGGUUAGUUUUAACCUACUGAUAAGAAAUCGACUUUGAGCGGUCGUCACAUCGGAAAUCCUGCUCAGUACGAGAGGAACCGCAGGUUCGGAUCAAUGGCUCAUGUGCUUGGUCGAUCGACCAUUGGCACGAAGCUACCAUCCGUGGGAUUAUGACUGAACGCCUCUAAGUCAGAAUCCCUUCCGAAUAUGCGUGACGAUAUGUCAUGUGUUGCGUUGUCCUCGUCGGUGGAGUUAGAUCGCCGACGGACGGAUGCUGCUUUGCUUGCGGCGGCUAUCGAACGUGUUUCGGCAUGCUCGGUUGUCGUCGUCGAGCGGCGGUUGAUGUUCGUUUUCGGCUUCUGCCUCGACUACUGCCCUUUACCGGGUCGCGAAGCAACCGAGCGAGAUAAUCACGUCUCGCUCAGCCGUUCCAACCGUGGAACUAACGUUGCGGGGACACGUACACCGAAUCAUCCGUAGACUACUUAAACACCAGUCGGGGUGUUGUACUUAGUAGAGCA